GGGUGUUUGGUCUAGUGGUAUGAUUCUUGCUUUGGGUGUAAGAGGUCGUGAGUUCGAUUCUCACAACACCCC
rfam:Ipomoea nil DNA, scaffold: scaffold2283, cultivar: Tokyo-kokei standard.